UACGUAGGGUGCGAGCGUUAAUCGGAUUUACUGGGCGUAAAGCGUGCGCAGGCGGUUGGCAAAGUCAGCUGUGAAAGCCCCCGGCUCAACUGGGGAGGGUCAUUCGAUACUGAUCGACUUGAAGGCAGGAGAGGGAAGCGGAAUUCCCGGUGUAGUGGUGAAAUGCGUAGAUAUCGGGAGGAACACCAGUGGCGAAGGCGGCUUCCUGGCCUGUUCUUGACGCUGAGGCGCGAAAGCUAGGGGAGCAAACGGG
rnacentral:rRNA from 1 species